GACGAACGCUGGCGGCGUGCUUAACACAUGCAAGUCGAACGGAAAGGCCCUGCUUUUGUGGGGUGCUCGAGUGGCGAACGGGUGAGUAACACGUGAGUAACCUGCCCUUGACUUUGGGAUAACUUCAGGAAACUGGGGCUAAUACCGGAUAGGAGCUCCUGCUGCAUGGUGGGGGUUGGAAAGUUUCGGCGGUUGGGGAUGGACUCGCGGCUUAUCAGCUUGUUGGUGGGGUAGUGGCUUACCAAGGCUUUGACGGGUAGCCGGCCUGAGAGGGUGACCGGACAAAUUGGGACUGAGAUGCGGCACAGACUCAUACGGGAGGCAGGAGUGGGGAAUAUUGCACAAUGGGAGGAAGCAUGAUGCAGCAAAGCCGCGUGCGGGAUGACGGCCUUCGGGUUGUAAACCGAUUUCGCCUGUGACGAAGCGUGAGUGACGGUAAUGGGUAAAGAAGCCCCGGCUAACUACGUG
rnacentral:rRNA from 1 species